GCCCACAAACAUGUUGUGCCAGGCUUCAUCCCAAAAAAGUGUACUGAAUGAAAUUGUACACCCAAUCCGUUCUCUCUGCGUAGCAUAUACCUGUCCAGCCGGUUUCAAAGAUUUGUGGAAGCUCGAUAAGGGAGUCACGAGUAUUGGUAGGUAGGUCUAUUACGAGUGUGGUGUUGGAUGUCACUUUGGAACAAUUCAACACACUACGCCCCAACGACUGGAACCGAGCUCCUUUCCCUCGUCACUCCAGAAGUGGAGCUUGGUCUCGCCACUUGCGCAACAGUGACUCUGGCAAAGGGAUUUAAAAGAUUCAGUCGCACACAUUUUGUUUCUUUAUGCUUGAACGUGACUGAAAAUGUAGACUUUCAACGAGAAUAACAAGAGCACUCUCCGUUUCUUUGCCUGUCCACGGUGUAAUGAAGGCAUAACAACCGGGUAUAAAAUCAGAUUUCUCCGUGUUCGACCAUGAAAGUGACACGGAUAUUUGUGCCCAGAUGCUGCGCUUCUUCACAUUAGCACGCCGCCGGCUGACUAAAUGGCCACCAUGCUCCAUGCGUCCGCUGUGGUCGUGUGGGAAUGGCUCAACGAACACGGGCGGUGGCGGCCCUACAGCCCGGCCAUCUCCCACCACAUCGAGGCGGUGAUACGAAGCGAUCCCCGUGGUGGGAGCGUCGUGCUAGGCCAAGUCGACAACCGCCUCUCGCCCUACAUCCUAGACCUGCAGUCGAUGCACCAGUUCAGGCAAGACACAGGUAAGAAGACGAGAGCUGAGAGGUGGGAAUGGCUGUUGUUGUUGUGGGGAUGCUGAUGUCAUGUUACGCGACAGUUUUUGGUGUAAGAAGGCACGUGGAUGUAUAUAGGUGCAGAACUUUUGUUAAACAGCACAGUUUAAAGUAUAUGGCAAAUAGAAAUCAAAACUGGAUGGUCUUAAGAGAUAGAUGGGAAACCAUGUGUUUGAGUAUUUGAUAUCAUUCCACGUAUUCUGCUCCAGCCAUUACCACCAGCCCGUUCUCCCCAAUUAAGGUGCCGCAAACCUCCUGUGAUGUCCAGUGAGUGUCUCUGUGUCUCGGUCUGUCCAGAAUGGAUAUAUUGUGACAGACAAAAGUCCAUUCAGAAUUCUUACUCCUACAUAGGCUUUUUUAACAUCUUAGGCUCAGUUGUCAGUAUUUUCAGUUUUUUACGUCACGUUACUGCACGGCUGUAUUAAAUUCAGUUCGUUUUGCAUGUGGUUCAACUAAUAGACUGCUCCGUGGAGCUUAGAGCUCACAGCUUGGUUCCAUUCCGUCAUAGAAUGAGAAUUAAGAAUGCAUUACAAUCAGUUCCAUAUUCCUAGGGCCUGACUGGGUCCCUGACUUUAACCCUCCGCUUUCCUGUCAGACAGAAUGGGGUGAAAGUGUGAUGACCUACGACAGAUGUACCUCACAGAGCCUUGGCCUCUCUUGCGAGAGACAUUCUUCCCCCGUACUCCCCGAAUCUAACGCACGCAGCUGCCGUGUGGGGACGGACAUUGGGUGGGAUAAGCAGAGGGAGCGAGAGAGAAAGGGCACCCUAUUCCCUACAUACUGCGCUAGUUUUAGUCAAAAGUAGUGCACUACAUAGGGAAUAGGGUGCCCUUUGUGACAGAUCCAGAACGUAAGGGGAAAGCAGAGAGAAUGUGAUAUUUCAAGGCUUAAACAGCAGAGUCUCUGAGAAUCCGCCUCCCGUAGCCCCC